AACCCGUCCGUCCGUUUAUUACACUUGACUUCGAAUGUCUCGAGUUCGGAGCGGGUGUUCAUGGGAAAAUCCAGAUUAUCAAUGAGAUUCUUGAAAAAUAUAAAACAAGAACACAUUAUUGAUAAACCGGACCUUCCCUGACAGAUGAACGGCUUUUUCCGAAUUUCGGUGGUGCCUGUAUAAUAAUUGAUUUACUUGGAGCUUGUAAUCCGUCGUGUCGUUGGUAUCGUGUGAAAUGUAGAAUAUUUUGAAAUAAUGAUUUUUUUCACGUGAUUGACUUUCGUGAUAAUGACAUAAUAUAAAAUAGCUAUAAACAUGUUUUCGCUAUCAAUCUCAUGGCGAACCUCACAAUUAGAACUAUAGUAAUUUUCAUUGGUAAGCUUGACAAUGAGAUCGAAAUAUUCUACUCUU